GCCUACGGGGGGCUGCAGUGGGGAAUAUUGCACAAUGGGGGAAACCCUGAUGCAGCAACGCCGCGUGAGUGAAGAAGUCAUUCGUGAUGUAAAGCUCUAUCAGCAGGGAAGAAAAUGACGGUACCUGACUAAGAAGCCCCGGCUAACUACGUGCCAGCAGCCGCGGUAAUACGUAGGGGGCAAGCGUUAUCCGGAUUUACUGGGUGUAAAGGGAGCGUAGACGGCGACGCAAGUCUGAAGUGAAAUGCCAAUGCUCAACACUGGAACUGCUUUGGAAACUGUGUAGCUAGAGUGCAGGAGAGGUAAGUGGAAUUCCUAGUGUAGCGGUGAAAUGCGUAGAUAUUAGGAGGAACACCAGUGGCGAAGGCGGCUUACUGGACUGUAACUGACGUUGAGGCUCGAAGGCGUGGGGAGCAAACAGGAUUAGAUACCCGAGUAGUCACA
rnacentral:rRNA from 1 species